GAGUUUGAGCUCUUUUUUUGGUUGACCUUUAGCCACGCGCGACGGCUAUGCGCAUGUGUCCCAAAGUGACGUAUAUUUUUUGGUAAUGGGUAUACUCGAGAGAAAAGGUUUGGAAUUCGACCUCCCCUUAUACGCUCUAAAAAGGGGUCAUGGACUCCUUUUUUGUUUAGGAUCCCCUUUCUACAUUCAAUUUUUUAUUGAGCCUGGUGUGGAAUCACCAUCAUUACACAUUCAUUCUUGGUCUGGCUGCUGGUCUAGCGAGCCUUCCUAGCCGCCUAGAGUGCAGCUGACGUAUAUUUUUUGGUAAUGGGUAUACUCGAGAGAAAAGGUUUGGAAUUCGACCUCCCCUUAUACGCUCUAAAAAGGGGUCAUGGACUCCUUUUUUGUGGCACUAAUAAAUUUUUAACGUCUAAUUAGAUUGGAAAUCAUUCAAAUUAAGAACAAAAGCUCGUUGCUUUUUCUUUCCCUAUAAU
rnacentral:lncRNA from 1 species